rnacentral:rRNA from 1 species
AACGAACGCUGGCGGCAGGCCUAACACAUGCAAGUCGAACGCUGUAGCAAUACAGAGUGGCAGACGGGUGAGUAACGCGUGGGAAUCUUCCUAUCGGUACGGAAUAGCUCAGGGAAACUUGGGGUAAUACCGCAUACGCCCUUCGAGGGAAAGAUUUAUCGCCAAUAGAUGAGCCCGCGUCUGAUUAGCUAGUUGGUGAGGUAAUGGCUCACCAAGGCGACGAUCAGUAGCUGGUCUGAGAGGAUGACCAGCCACACUGGGACUGAGACACGGCCCAGACUCCUACGGGAGGCAGCAGUGGGGAAUAUUGGACAAUGGGCGCAAGCCUGAUCCAGCCAUGCCGCGUGAGUGACGAAGGUCUUCGGAUUGUAAAGCUCUUUUGGCGGGGACGAUAAUGACGGUACCCGCAGAAUAAGCCCCGGCUAACUUCGUGCCAGCAGCCGCAGUAAUAC